UACGUAGGCAGCAAGCGUUGUUCGGAAUUACUGGGCGUAAAGAGUGUGUAGGCGGUGCUCUAAGUUUGGUGUGAAAUCUCCCGGCUCAACCGGGAGGCUGCAUCGAAUACUGGAAUGCUAGAGGGUGGGAGAGGUAAGCGGAAUUCCUGGUGUAGCGGUGAAAUGCGUAGAUAUCGUCUGGAACGCCGAAGGUGAAAACAGCUCGCUGGGGUUGUGCUGACGCUGAGACACGAAAGCCAGGGGAGCGAACGGG
rnacentral:rRNA from 1 species